rnacentral:rRNA from 1 species
UGGGGAAUAUUGGACAAUGGGCGAAAGCCUGAUCCAGCCAUGCCGCGUGUGUGAAGAAGGUCUUCGGAUUGUAAAGCACUUUAAGUUGGGAGGAAGGGCAGUAAGCGAAUACCUUGCUGUUUUGACGUUACCGACAGAAUAAGCACCGGCUAACUCUGUGCCAGCAGCCGCGGUAAUACAGAGGGUGCGAGCGUUAAUCGGAUUUACUGGGCGUAAAGCGUGCGUAGGCGGCUAAUUGAGUCGGAUGUGAAAUCCCCGAGCUUAACUUAGGAAUUGCAUUCGAUACUGGUUAGCUAGGGUGUGGGAGAGGAUGGUAGAAUUCCAGGUGUAGCGGUGAAAUGCGUAGAGAUCUGGAGGAAUACCGAUGGCGAAGGCAGCCAUCUGGCCUAACACUGACGCUGAGGUACGAAAGCAUGGGGAGCAAACAGG